AGGAGAGCUGCUUAUGGGGUUUGCUAGUUCCAUUCUUCCCCGUCAUGUGCUUUGAAAUGAGGUUGCUGUGCUUUGACAAGCCCUUGCUUGCUUUCCAUUCCUUCUUUCCCCUUCUUUCUACCUCUCCAUUCUAAUGGCAGAGAGUCCUCGACACACCGUCUCCUCCUUUGGACGGCAGAACUGAAUUUUAUUUGCUGAGAGCUUUGGGCCCACUCUGAGAGGAUAAAUCCGGAUUAGAUUUGCAGCUCUGGAUCUUUCCCUGGCUCUCCUGACCCCGUGACAUCUUCUGAAGCAAGAGGCCUGUUGGAGGAUGAAAUAGGAUCUGGAUAAAUGUCCUGGCUGCUGACAUCACUGAUGAAAUAAUAAUGCCCCUGCAGCCGCCCUUCUGUGGCACAACGACCCAAGCACCACCUAUGGCAAUCAAGUGACUGAGAGAAUUUCAGCUCCUCUUAGAAAACAUACAUAAACCCUGUAAAAUGGAAGAGGAACUCUGAAACAGAAUGUAAACAUUCAUGCCAGAAGGAAGAUCUAAGGCCUUCCCAUUUGUCAACAAUUUCAUUUUGUCGAUGGAGCAAAACGUUGAGUGGAGCAGCUUGAAAACUACCAUCCUGCAGCAGCUGAGCUACAAGGAGAGACCACUGUGCAGCAUGGGUGAUGUAGUCCAGCCACCAAACAAGGCCUAUGCAGGAGGGCAGGUAGGUGGGGCCUGAAACUCCAACUCUGAGGAGUUCAGUUGGAAGCUGAGAUGAAAACUGACUGCAAAUGGAAAAUUUUAUGUAGAUUUUACCCAGCAUAAAAUUCCACUGGUAUUAAUCUUUUAUUGAUCUGCUUGUGGUAGUGACUUCCUGGACAAUGUAGGGAUGAAUCUGCUCUUGGCUUUCUCUGUGUUGAGAUGAGGCCCAGUGAUGCAGCAUCAGAAGAAGCCUUCUCUGGUGCUGGACUGUGUAGUGAGUGGGGGUGCAAAGUUUCCAGUUUGCAUAUCUCUCAGGGUGCUUCCAUUUCACAACUUCUAAAAUACCCAUUGAACGUUAUUUUAAGUGUUCAAAUCAGCUUAACAAAGUUAAUCCAUUGUUUAAAAAUCAUUGAGAUUGUCAACCUGAUGCUCUGUGCAGUUAUUCACUUUUAAAGCCCUGAAAAAUAGGACUUAGAAUUGGCAGCUGACCCUUAACUUCAAGUGUUAUUGCUUUUACACUGUAAUAUGAAUUAUGUUCUGCCUUAUAAGCUUUUGCCAUUAACUAAAGACUCUACUGUGAACCAGAAUUUCUAGGUAUAUCAGCAAUGAAUUGUACUUGUUCUGCAAAAAUCCAAGGCUUGGUGACUGCUAGGUCUCAAGAGCUGCCUUCUUUUUGCCAAGAUUCAUUAGGAAAUAUUCUCUGGAGUUGCUUUGAAUCACAGAUUCUUAUUUUGAAGGAUAUGGUUGGUGGUCCGGUGCCAUAUGCAAGUGCACAUUGAUGAAAUUCUGCAUUGGAGUCAGUUUCAGUAAUGGUCAAUCUUUGAAGGAAGCAUUUUCCUUAGAGUUGCCCAACAGCAGAAAAAUGCCAGUUGAUUUUUGAAGCCUCAGUCCCUCCUGUAGAGAAAGGCAACAGGAGGCAGAAAAGGUUUUGUUGUCUUUCCUGGUAGUUCAUUUUGCAGUCUCCAAGAUGCAUCUGCU